rnacentral:rRNA from 1 species
GAUCGGGGAUGGGCUCGCGGCCUAUCAGCUUGUUGGUGGGGUAAUGGCCUACCAAGGCGACGACGGGUAGCCGGCCUGAGAGGGCGACCGGCCACACUGGGACUGAGACACGGCCCAGACUCCUACGGGAGGCAGCAGUGGGGAAUAUUGCACAAUGGGGGAAACCCUGAUGCAGCGACGCAGCGUGCGGGAUGACGGCCUUCGGGUUGUAAACCGCUUUCAGCAGGGAAGAAGCGAAAGUGACGGUACCUGCAGAAGAAGUACCGGCUAACUACGUGCCAGCAGCCGCGGUAAUACGUAGGGUACGAGCGUUGUCCGGAAUUAUUGGGCGUAAAGAGCUCGUAGGUGGUUGGUCACGUCUGCUGUGGAAACGCAACGCUUAACGUUGCGCGGGCAGUGGGUACGGGCUGACUAGAGUGCAGUAGGGGAGUCUGGAAUUCCUGGUGUAGCGGUGAAAUGCGCAGAUAUCAGGAGGAACACCGGUGGCGAAGGCGGGACUCUGGGCUGUAACUGACACUGAGGAGCGAAAGCAUGGGGAGCGAACAGGAUUAGAUACCCUGGUAGUCCAUGCCGUAAACGUUGGGCACUAGGUGUGGGGGGCAUUCCACGUUCUCCGCGCCGUAGC